rnacentral:lncRNA from 1 species
GUCUGGGAAGAUACCUGGGGGUUGUAACCGGGGUCUCAGUGGCCUUUGUCCUGCCGCUCGUCCUCCUCCUCCAAUGUCGGCGUCAGAGCAAACACAGGACAUUGGCCCAGAGAGAGGCUGAUUUCCAACACCCUGCAGGGGCCGUGGGACCAGAGCCCAAGAACAGGGGUCUGCUGAGGAGGUCCAGCCCAGCUGCUGACAUCCAAGAAGAAAACCUCA